GCCAGCUUUCCUGCAGCUCCAUGCUUUACUUUCUUCCCUGCACUCUCAAAAAAGCUCCCCUGGCUCUGUGCUUUAAGUCCCUCCCUUUUCCACCUGCUGAAAGUUCUCUACUGUGGUCUCAUCCAGGCAGGAACUAUACAACAGUCAGGUAGGUUCGUCUAAAAUGCUGCAAAUAUAACAUAGAAAUUGAACUAAACUGUUAAGUAGUGUUCUCAAAUAGUAAUGUCUUACCUUUAGCAUUAAAGUUCUUGCUAGCUACAGUUCCCAUGAACCUAGCCAGCCUUCAACUGGCUAUGUGUCUUGAGUAAUAUAAUGUACUUGAACAUUUUAUUGUAAGACAUAAGUUCAAUUUAAAGAGCAGGAGAUAAAAACUUAAAAAAGUAAGUUAAGGUCUGAUUGAAUUUUUUUUUAAUGCAGGCUGUGUGAGUUACAACCAAGGAAGGUGUGGCUAGGGCUGCAUAAAUAAGACCAAAGUAAAUUAACUUCUAAAUGGAAAAUAAUUGAGCAGUAAAACUGCAUGAGCAUAAUCUACACACUAUAACUGCUUCAUUCAGCUAAAUUGUUUAGAUUCAUAUAGUGUCCCUUAAAGCUGAAGUUGUUUUGGUGCCAAUAGUAUCUCAUUAGGUGGGCAAAGUCCAAAAGAUUAGGGCCAAAUUUUAUAGAGAGGGGCAGGAUUAAAUUACAGUGGUUUAGCCUAGUGCCCAAUAUGACACAUUCAUCAGGCCGCCAAUGCUGGGAACCAAGUCAAUCACCAUCUGAACAACAAAAAAAAUCACUACAACAUAGAAUGGUGAAAC